GUUUGAUCCUGGCUCAGGAUGAACGCUAGCGGCAGGCCUAACACAUGCAAGUCGAGGGGUAGAGUUCUUCGGGACUUGAGACCGGCGCACGGGUGCGUAACGCGUAUGCAAUCUACCUUAUACAGGGGAAUAGCCCAGAGAAAUUUGGAUUAAUGCCCCAUAGUGUUAUCGAAUCGCAUGGUUUGAUAACUAAAGUUCCAACGGUAUAAGAUGAGCAUGCGUCCCAUUAGUUAGUUGGUAAGGUAACGGCUUACCAAGACAAUGAUGGGUAGGGGUCCCGAGAGGGAGAUCCCCCACACUGGUACUGAGACACGGACCAGACUCCUACGGGAGGCAGCAGUGAGGAAUAUUGGUCAAUGGGCGCAAGCCUGAACCAGCCAUGCCGCGUGCAGGAAGACGGUCCUAUGGAUUGUAAACUGCUUUUAUACAGGAAGAAACCCUCCCACGUGUGGGAGCUUGACGGUACUGUAGGAAUAAGGAUCGGCUAACUCCGUG
rnacentral:rRNA from 1 species